GAUGUGGUUAAUGAUGCAUAUUCUUUUUUCCCCAUCUUAUCGACUAUGGUGAAAACCAGCUAAUAUAUUAAGCCAAUUAUAUCUGAAACCACAUC
ensembl:snoRNA